rnacentral:lncRNA from 1 species
GGUCUAUGUUAUCACUCCAACUGGGAGUGAGUGAGAGAAGCACUGUUGAUCACUAGUGAUGGAGAUACGCCCAGCAUUUGAAUCCCGUGCAUAGGCCACAAUUACUCACUUGCUUUUACCCUGUGCUUGUGCACCACUUCAUACCUGCGUGAGGUUAUAGAUCAAACAAACUGAUUCUCCUCGAUCUGAGAGGGCACUACAGAAAUGUAUGAGGAGGGCUUACAGUCAAACUGAAGAUGUUCUCCUCUUGUAGCAUGACUGUUGGUUUUCAAGUGGUAAUCAGGAGUGUAAACUGUUUUAUUCACCUGAUGCUGGAUGAUAAAAUCAACGUGAAGAAAUAAUAAGGCAUCUGAGACAACUAUAAAGAGCCUUGAGAUGGAUCCCUGGUUGACUCUACCUGCACCCUGCCUGUUUGAAUUUAUGCUGGUCAUCAAAAUAAGAAGCCUGGGGAAACCAGUGAAAUGUGAAUGUGAGAGGCAGCUCCUCCAGCCUUCUCUGCAAAUCAGAGGAGUCUCUUCAGAGCAGUCAUAUUGCAGACAGAUAUCUACUCCAAACAGGAAUUUAUGGAUGACUCGGUGGCCCUGUCCCGAGGGUUUGUCCUCCAAAAGGACCCAUGAGGGAUCUCCGCUUUAACUGCCAAGUCCAAGCAGCAUUGAGGCUGCAGUUCUGCACUCACGAUUCAUGGUAAGGAAUUCACUUAGAAAUAAGAAGUUACAUAUUCAUUUCA